CUGCCACAUUCAAGGAGGCAGCAGGGGCGUAAAUUACCCAAAUCCCAAUUCGGGGAGGUAGUGACAAUAAAUAUCAUUAGGGGCCUUCGGGUCCCGAACGGAAUGAGUACAAUUUAAAUCCCUUAACGAGGAUCAAUUGGAGGGCAAGUCUGGUGCCAGCAGCCGCGGUAAUUCCAGCUCCAAUAGCGUAUAUUAAAGUUGUUGCAGUUAAAAAGCUCGUAGUUGGAUUUCUGGACGGAGCGACCGGUCCGCUGCUGUGCAGUGUGUACUCGUGUCUGACUCUGUUCAUCCUUGCAGGGAAGCGCAUUUCGGCAUUCAGUUGUCGAGGCGGGGAACUGCAUCUUUUACUGUGAAAAAAUUAGAGUGUUUAAAGCAGGCAUUUUGCUGUGAAUACAUUAGCAUGGAAUAAUAACAUAGGACCUUGUUUCUAUUUUGUUGGUUGGAGAACUAGGUAAUGAUUAAUAGGGACAGUUGGGGGUAUUCAUAUUUAAUUGUCAGAGGUGAAAUUCUUGGAUUUAUGAAAGAUGAACUCAUGCGAAAGCAUUUACCAAGGAUGUUUUCAUUAAUCAAAUAAACG
rnacentral:rRNA from 1 species